UAUGAUGAUCAAGAGGCUGUCCUUUG
rnacentral:piRNA from 1 species